rnacentral:lncRNA from 1 species
AAACCAAUCCAAAUAAUCAAAUAGUAGGAAUAAACUAAAUUUUUGAGCUCGGAAAAAUAAAAUUGGUUAAAAAGGAAAAAAAGAUAGCUCCGAUAAUAACUGAUAGAGAACUUGGUCACCCUUGUUGGCGGCUAAGAUCAAAAGGACGGGUAAUAAUGUAAAUAAACAUAAAUCGAGGGGCACUUAAACUCCAUCAAGAUAAAGCUAAGGACACGAUCGUAAAUACAAAAAGAUAGCGAGAGAUGCGGUCACGUGAGACGCAUUUAUAACCCUCCGAUGAAAGCCACGUGUCACUCCGAUCUAAAUAUCUCGACCUUAUCGGGUCCCACACUUCCAAUCCUCGACCUUAUCCACCUUACGUAGACCUAAGAUCCAACUGCCACGUCACACAUAAUUCAACGGCUCAGAUUGACCCGAUCGCCUUUAAAUCAUCGCUUCCUUCAUGAAACAUGGAAACUCUCUACAACAAGUUUCAAAAAACCCCAAAAACUUUAGAUUCUUAACAAUUUCAACCCUAUGGGCUUACUUGAUCAUCUCUGGGAUGAUACCGUCGCUGGUCCACGGCCAGAAAACGGCCUUGGCAAGCUUCGUAAACACCAUACCUUCAGUUUCCGACCUAGCUCCGGCAAUGGUACGCCGUGUUUUGCUAAAAAUUGAACCGAUGAAUCAAAUCUAUAUAACAUAAAUCUAAAAUUAGUAAACAUGCACUAAAGUAUUUGAAUCUGAUGAUCGAUCUCAUGUUAAAAUUGAUUAAAUCGUUGGUUUGAUGUAAUUUUCUUGAUCUUGAUUUUAAUGGAUGUGAUUAGAUCAACCGGAAGCUGGAAGUGCGAGAUCGUACGGUGAGGAUUCGCUACCGGAAGAGGCAGUGAAAGUUACAAGAAGCAUCAUGAUUGUUAAACCACCGGGUUAUCAAGGCGGUUCAGCUCCGGCUUCGCCGGC